rnacentral:rRNA from 1 species
GAUGAACGCUGGCGGCGUGCCUAAUACAUGCAAGUCGAGCGAACAGAUGAGGAGCUUGCUCCUCUGACGUUAGCGGCGGACGGGUGAGUAACACGUGGAUAACCUACCUAUAAGACUGGGAUAACUUCGGGAAACCGGAGCUAAUACCGGAUAAUAUAUUGAACCGCAUGGUUCAAUAGUGAAAGACGGUUUUGCUGUCACUUAUAGAUGGAUCCGCGCCGCAUUAGCUAGUUGGUAAGGUAACGGCUUACCAAAGCAACGAUGCGUAGCCGACCUGAGAGGGGGAUCGGCCACACUGGAACUGAGACACGGUCCAGACUCCUACGGGAGGCAGCAGUAGGGAAUCUUCCGCAAUGGGCGAAAGCCUGACGGAGCAACGCCGCGUGAGUGAUGAAGGUCUUCGGAUCGUAAAACUCUGUUAUUAGGGAAGAACAAAUGUGUAAGUAACUAUGCACGUCUUGACGGUACCUAAUCAGAAAGCCACGGCUAACUACGUG